UAAGAAAAUUACUUAUCCUCUGGGACUGGCCACUUUAGGAGCAACUGUUUGCUACCCAGUUCAGUCCGUAAUAAUUGCUAAGGUAACAGCAAAAAAGGUAUAUGCUACAAGCCAGCAAAUUUUUGGAGCAGUUAAAUCAUUGUGGACAAAAAGCAGCAAAGAAGAGUCACUCCCUAAACCUAAAGAAAAAACUCAGCUAGGAUCCUCUUCCGAAAUAGAAGUACCUGCAAAAACAACUCACGUCUUGAAACACUCAGUGCCCUUGCCAACAGAAUUCAGCUCUGAAGCAAAGACCAAAUCAGAAUCCACUUCAGGUGCAACACAGUUUAUGCCUGACCCCAAGCUCAUGGAUCACGGGCAGUCCCACCCAGAAGAUAUAGAUAUGUACAGCACUAGAAGCUGAAGUAGACUGCAUGCAGAGACUACACAGAAAACUACAAGAUGUGUGACGUUGCAAAUAAUGAUGAAAAUAAAUCAUGUAAUGGGUAACUGAUACAUAGAGUAUUACCUAAACCAAGUUUCUCCCUUACAUUUCCAAAUGUGCCAUUUGAUAAAUUACAUAAGUGGUUAACACACAAACUGUGAAUGCAGUGUAAACAAUAUUAAAUGAUUGAUGAGGAGACUUAGGUAGAAGUAUUAGCUUGCAUUUGAUGACCUUUAAGGGCACUUAAAAAAAAAUGAAGACAUGAAUUCUAGUGAGA
rnacentral:lncRNA from 1 species